rnacentral:rRNA from 1 species
CGCGUAGGCGGUCUUGUCGGUCAGAUGUGAAAGCCCAGGGCUCAACCCUGGACGUGCAUUUGAAACAGCAAGACUUGAAUACUGGAGAGGAGAGCGGAAUUCCUGGUGUAGAGGUGAAAUUCGUAGAUAUCAGGAGGAACACCGGUGGCGAAGGCAGCUCUCUGGACAGAUAUUGACGCUGAGGCGCGAAGGCGUGGGUAGCGAACAGGAUUAGAUACCCUGGUAGUCC